rnacentral:rRNA from 1 species
UACGUUGGGCGCAAGCGUUAUCCGGAAUUAUUGGGCGUAAAGAGCUCGUAGGCGGUUUGUCGCGUCUGCCGUGAAAGUCCGGGGCUCAACUCCGGAUCUGCGGUGGGUACGGGCAGACUAGAGUGAUGUAGGGGAGACUGGAAUUCCUGGUGUAGCGGUGAAAUGCGCAGAUAUCAGGAGGAACACCGAUGGCGAAGGCAGGUCUCUGGGCAUUAACUGACGCUGAGGAGCGAAAGCAUGGGGAGCGAACAGG